AGAUUAAGCCAUGCAUGUCUAAGUAUAAGCAAUUAUACGGCGAAACUGCGAAUGGCUCAUUAUAUAAGUUAUCGUUUAUUUGAUAGCACCUUACUACUUGGAUAACCGUGGUAAUUCUAGAGCUAAUACAUGCUACAAAUCCCGACUUCGGAAGGGAUGUAUUUAUUAGAUUAAAAACCAAUGCCCUCUGGGCUCUCUGGUGAUUCAUGAUAACUUCGCGGAUCGCACGGCCUUGCGCCGGCGAUGGCUCAUUCAAAUUUCUUCCCUAUCAACUUUCGAUGUUUGGGUAGUGGCCAAACAUGGUUGCAACGGGUAACGGAGGGUUAGGGCUCGACUCCGGAGAAGGAGCCUGAGAAACGGCUACUACAUCCAAGGAAGGCAGCAGGCGCGCAAAUUACCCAAUCCCGAUACGGGGAGGUAGUGACAAUAAAUACUGAUACAGGGCUCUUUUGGGUCUUGUAAUUGGAAUGAGUACAAUUUAAAUCCCUUAACGAGGAACAAUUGGAGGGCAAGUCUGGUGAACAUUGCUGGCGCCAGAAAGAGCCACCCUCUGGUAAAUAAGUGGCUAGUCGAGUGCUCAUAUUGUGACGGGUGAGCACCGGCGAGACAACCUGGAUCGGGGGAGGCUAAGGGCCACUGCGGCCUAUGCUAAUCCCGAGCAGAGCCAGUUCUUCUGGCCUGUGUAGAGCGCGCCAAGGUGUCGGUCCCGAGGUCUUCUCGGGGCUUAAGGUACGUGCCAACCCCCUGUGAAAACAGGGCCCUGCGGAGUAGCACCCGUCGUGCGAUGCCGUAGGGAGCCUUUCUGAAAGGGAAGGCGCUAUAAAAAUGGCCAGCAGCCGCGGUAAUUCCAGCUCCAAUAGCGUAUAUUAAAGUUGUUGUGGUUAAAAAGCUCGUAGUUGAACUUUGGGCCUGGCUGGCCGGUCCGCCUCACCGCGUGUACUGGUCCGGCCGGGCCUUUCCCUCUGUGGAACCCCAUGCCCUUCACUGGGUGUGGCGGGGAAACAGGACUUUUACUUUGAAAAAAUUAGAG
rnacentral:rRNA from 1 species